rnacentral:rRNA from 1 species
AGCGGCGGACGGGUGAGUAACGCGUGGGUAACCUGCUCAUACAGGGGGAUAACAGUUAGAAAUGACUGCUAAUACCGCAUAAGACCACAGCACCGCAUGGUGCGGGGUAAAAACUCCGGUGGUAUGAGAUGGACCCGCGUCUGAUUAGCUAGUUGGUAAGGUAACGGCUUACCAAGGCGACGAUCAGUAGCCGACCUGAGAGGGUGACCGGCCACAUUGGGACUGAGACACGGCCCAA